GCGUGCUCGAAAAUGUUAAAGUUCUUAUUUCAUGGUAUAACUUUGGUAUGCUUGGACCUAGAGUCUUCAAACUUGACAUGAAGGUUGGCCAGGAUUAACAGAUGACCACUGGUCAUUUCAAGGUCAUUCAUUUGAAGGUGAAGGUCACUGUGACCUUCAAUAUAAAAAUGUUAAAGUUGUUAUAACUUUGGUAUGCUUGGACCUAGAGUCUUGAAACUUGACAUGAAGGUUGGCCAGAACUAGUAAGUAACCACUGGACAUUUCAAGGUCAUUCAUUUGAAGGUCAAGGUCACUGUGACCUUGAAUGUAAAAAUGUUAAAGUUGUUAUAACUUUGGUAUGCUUGGACCUAGAGUCUUGAAACUUGACAUGAAGGUUGGCCAGAACUAGUAAGUAACCACUGGACAUUUCAAGGUCAUUCAUUUGAAGGUCAAGGUCACUGUGACCUUGAAUGUAAAAAUGUUAAAGUUCUUAUUUCAUGUUAUAACUUUGGUAUGCUUGUACCUAGAGUCUUCAAACUUGAAAUAAAGAUUGGCCAGUACUAGAAGAUGACCACUGGUCAUUUCAAUGUCAUUCAUUUGAAGGUCAAGGUCACUGUGACCUUAAAUGUUAAAAUGUUAAAAUUGUUAUAACUUUGGUA